rnacentral:rRNA from 1 species
UGGGGAAUAUUGCACAAUGGGGGAAACCCUGAUGCAGCGACGCCGCGUGAACGAAGAAGGUAUUCGUAUCGUAAAGUUCUGUCCUAUGGGAAGAUAAUGACAGUACCAUAGAAGAAAGCUCCGGCUGAAUACGUGCCAGCAGCCGCGGUAAUACGUAUGGAGCGAGCGUUGUCCGGAAUUAUUGGGCGUAAAGGGUACGCAGGCGGUUUAAUAAGUCGAAUGUUAAAGAUCGGGGCUCAACCCCGCAAAGCAUUGGAAACUGAUAAACUUGAGUAGUGGAGAGGAAAGUGGAAUUCCUAGUGUAGUGGUGAAAUACGUAGAUAUUAGGAGGAAUACCAGUAGCGAAGGCGACUUUCUGGACACAAACUGACGCUGAGGUACGAAAGCGUGGGGAGCAAACAGG